rnacentral:rRNA from 1 species
AUUGAACGCUGGCGGCAGGCCUAACACAUGCAAGUCGAACGAGUGGCGGACGGGUGAGUAAUGUCUGGGAAACUGCGCGAUGGAGGGGGUUAACUACUGGAAACGGUAGCUAAUACCGCCUACCAUCGGAUGUGCCGAGAUGGGAUUAGCUAGUGGGAGGGGUAAUGGCUCACCUCGGCGACGAUCCCUAGCUGGUCGGAGAGGAGGACCAGCCACACUGGAACUGGGACACGGUCCAGACUCCUACGGGAGGCAGCAGUGGGGAAUAUUGGACAAUGGGCGCAAGCCUGAUGCAGCCAUGCCGCGUGUAUGAAGAAGGCCUUCGGGUUGUAAAGUACUUUCAGCGAGGAGGCGUUACUCGCAGAAGAAGCACCGGCUAACUCCGUGCCAGCAGCCGCGGUAAUUC